CGCCUUUCCACGUCGGUUUGUACGUCUCUACGUCGUAUUCCCGCGACGCUCGGGGAGAGUUUAAAAACGUUCCCGAGGACGUUAGCGCUCCUUUUCGUUUCGUCGGUCGUGUCCGCGGCAGCGCUGCACGGCUGCGGUUUUAACCGAGCUUGUAAGAAGAGUGCAGCAAAUGAGGGGGACAGAGCAGUAACUAUUCAAACAAGGCGUUAGCUUAACCGUCGUUCGAGUCUGUGGUUGAAACGUGUUGUCUGUUGGCUGCAGCGUAACGUUAGCGUUGUCAAGGCAGGCCUCGAGCAGCCACGUGGAGAGGACUGAAAGAUGGAGAGGAAAGGAAAAGUGAGAUUUGGUGACUUUUUCCAGUCUCACUUGGCCAGAGGGUGGACUUCAGUCUGGCAGCCCGUUGCAGGAGUUUAACGAAUGCUAUAAUCACGUCGUCAUGACGUCUCGUCGUGUCCCUGGGAGGAGGUCGGAAUGUACCUGCUCAGGAUGAGGGGAAAGUCGAGAGUGAGCUCAAAAAAAACUUAUGAGCUGCCAUAAGACGUUGAGCGCUGGAAAAAACACCCGCUAAUGAUCAGCCGUUGGAACAAUGGUUCCCCUGCUGCACUGCGUACGCUCCCAACUACAAUGGCUGACUGAAGAGGAUUCAUUUUGUGAAGGUUGAACUGGAAGAAGGAUGGUGUGCAACCGCAGCUACACCUUUUGAGAUGGUCUUUGUGUCACUGCCAGUCUGAUCCUGUCCCCCGAAGUCUGCUGUCGAGUGAAGUUGACAGGUAGCUUUUUAAGCUGUAGUCCACAAAUAGCUGUCGUCC